CACAGUUCUGGAUACUAGUACUUGGUCUAGGGCACUGGGUUGCGAUCGUUGCAGAUGGGUUGGUAGCAGUAAUGAAGGUUGUGGCCGUUCCAAAUUGUAGUGGGGAUAAGGAAGUAGGCGCCUGGGAUAAUGGUUGUGAGGAUUCGAGGUGUAUGGAAAGGGUGUCUAGGUUGGAGGUGGAUGCGUGUAACACAGUUGCUGCAUAUUUCUCCUUCUCCGAUCGUUGAAUUGCCUCAAGGGUGUUUGUAAUCUUCUGCGCUAUUUCUUCACUGG
rnacentral:lncRNA from 1 species